rnacentral:rRNA from 1 species
CCUACGGGCGGCAGCAGUGGGGAAUAUUGGACAAUGGGGGGAACCCUGAUCCAGCCAUGCCGCGUGUGUGAAGAAGGCCCUCAGGUUGUAAAGCACUUUCAGUGAGGAAGAACGCCUGGUGGUUAAUACCCAUCAGGAAAGACAUCACUCACAGAAGAAGCACCGGCUAACUCCGUGCCAGCAGCCGCGGUAAUACGGAGGGUGCGAGCGUUAAUCGGAAUUACUGGGCGUAAAGCGCGCGUAGGUGGCUUGAUAAGCCGGUUGUGAAAGCCCCGGGCUCAACCUGGGAACGGCAUCCGGAACUGUCAAGCUAGAGUGCAGGAGAGGAAGGUAGAAUUCCCGGUGUAGCGGUGAAAUGCGUAGAGAUCGGGAGGAAUACCAGUGGCGAAGGCGGCCUUCUGGACUGACACUGACACUGAGGUGCGAAAGCGUGGGUAGCAAACAGGAUUAGAUACCCGAGUAGUC